UGNGACGGGNGGAGANACACGAUGUGAUGUCCCCGGCGCUGUGANANACGCUCGGGAAAGUGUCUCUCACAGAAUAUAAAAUACCUUCUCGUGGAUGCUGGUGGGAAACAUUUUUGGGGUGGGAAAAGACUCCGGGCCAUCCCCCUUUUUGGGGGGGAAAGGGCUCCCCAAGGGGUCAAAGGGAUCCCGGCCCGGAAGGGGUACCGGCACAUUUGGAAAGGAAAAUCGGCCCCAAACCCUACGGAAGGGCCCNNGGGGAAAAUUUGGCAAAGGGGGCGAACCCUGAUGCNCCACCCCCCCUGGGGGGAAAAAGGCCUUCGGGUUUUAAACCUCUUUUCUCUNGNAAAAACCCCNAUUGACGGUACCUGCAGAAAAAGCACCGGCUAACUACGUGCCAGCAGCCGCGGUAAUACGUAGGGUGCAAGCGUUAUCCGGAAUUAUUGGGCGUAAAGAGCUCGUAGGCGGUUUGUCGCGUCUGCUGUGAAAUCUGGAGGCUCAACCUCCAGCCUGCAGGGGGUACGGGCAUAACUUGAGUGCUGUAGGGGAGAUUGGAAUUCNUGGUGUAGCGGUGAAAUGCGCNGAUAUCAGGAGGAACACCGAUGGCGAAGGCAGNUNUNUGGGCAGUAANUGACGNUGAGGAGAGAAAGCAUGGGUAGNNAACAGGAUUAGAUACCNUGGUNNUCCAUGCCGUAAACGGUGGGCGNUAGGUGUAGNNGGNUUNCACGUUUUNUGUGCCGUAGCUAACGCAUUAAGCNCCCCGCCUGGGGAGUACGGCCGCAAGGCUAAAACUCAAAGGAAUUGACGGGGGCCCGCACAAGCGGCGGAGCAUGUGGAUUAAUUCGAUGCAACGCGAAGAACCUUACCUGGGCUUGACAUAUACAGGAUUGGCCUAGAGAUAUUUAGUCCCUUGNGGUUUGUAUACAGGUGGUGCAUGGUUGUCGUCAGCUCGUGUCGUGAGAUGUUGGGUUAAGUCCCGCAACGAGCGCAACCCUUGUUUUAUGUUGCCAGCACGUGAUGGUGGGGACUCAUGAGAAACUGCCGGGGUNAACUCGGAGGAAGGUGGGGAUGACGUCAAAUCAUCAUGCCCCUUAUGUCCAGGGCUUCACACAUGCUACAAUGGUCGAUACAAUGGGCAGCGACAUCGUGAGGUGGAGCGAAUCCCCUGAAAGUCGGCCNCAGUUCGGAUUGGGGUCUGCAACUCGACCCCAUGAAGUCGGAGUCGCUAGUAAUCGCAGAUCAGCA
rnacentral:rRNA from 1 species